GACGAACGCUGGCGGCGUGCUUAACACAUGCAAGUCGAACGCGCCUGUCCUCUGGGUUUCUGGGGGGUGGGUGAGUGGCGAACGGGUGAGUAACACGUGAGUAACCUGCCCCCUUCUUCGGGAUAACGGUCUGAAAGGGCUGCUAAUACCGGGUAUUCACUGGUCUCCGCAUGGGGUCUGGUGGAAAGGUUUUUUUCUGGUGGGGGAUGGGCUCGCGGCCUAUCAGCUUGUUGGUGGGGUGAUGGCCCACCAAGGCUUUGACGGGUAGCCGGCCUGAGAGGGUGACCGGUCACAUUGGGACUGAGAUACGGCCCAGACUCCUACGGGAGGCAGCAGUGGGGAAUAUUGCACAAUGGGCGCAAGCCUGAUGCAGCGACGCCGCGUGAGGGAUGGAGGCCUUCGGGUUGUGAACCUCUUUGGCCCGUGGUCAAGCCGCGACGUGGGUCGUGGUGAGGGUAGUGGGUAAAGAAGCGCCGGCUAACUACGUG
rnacentral:rRNA from 1 species